CCUACGGGUGGCAGCAGUAGGGAAUAUUGGUCAAUGGGUGGAAGCCUGAACCAGCCAUGCCGCGUGCAGGAAGACGGCCUUCUGGGUUGUAAACUGCUUUUAUCAGGGGCUAAAAGGCCCAUGCGUGGGAAAUUGCAGGUACCUGAUGAAUAAGCCACGGCUAACUACGUGCCAGCAGCCGCGGUAAUACGUAGGUGGCAAGCGUUGUCCGGAUUUAUUGGGUUUAAAGGGUGCGUAGGCGGCCCAUUAAGUCAGUGGUGAAAUACAGCAGCUCAACUGUUGAGGUGCCAUUGAUACUGGAGGGCUUGAGUACAGACGAGGUAGGCGGAAUUGACGGUGUAGCGGUGAAAUGCAUAGAUAUCGUCAAGAACACCGAUAGCGAAGGCAGCCUGCUAGGCUGUAACUGACGCUGAGGCACGAAAGUGUGGGGAUCAAACAGG
rnacentral:rRNA from 1 species